rnacentral:tRNA from 1 species
GGGGAUUUAGCUCAGUGGCACAGCACUUGCCUGGCAAGCUAGAGGUCCUGAGUUCGAUCCCUGGUACCCCCC